GUCUUAUCGAACUGGGCAGGAUACAGCCAACUGUGACACAUGUCGUAACAGUGCCUGCAUCAUAUACAGUGUGGAACUAGAUUUUAAACUUCAAGAGGACAAACUUCAGCCCUUAAUGAAGAGACUGUGUCCAUUAGAAGAGCCGUCCUACCCCUCUCUGCCUUACACACACGAGGUGUUCACCUCCACACCCAAACGCAAGUCCAAGACUGAGACCAAGAAGCAUGCGCGAUGGAAACUCUGGUUCCUCUAACAUAUGGAUUCAGGAUCCCUGAAACCAUCACAAACGAGCAAAUUCUAGUGGAAUUUUGCUUGACUAAUUGGAUAAAUAUGGAGAAAUGCUCACUGCUAGCCACCGUUUUGGAACAUGCAUCACGGGAUCCACUGAGCUACUGGAUUUUAGUAAGGAAUAACAGUUGUUUUCUAAUCAUGACCCUCUGAUGAACCCUCUGAGUUUGGGAACUGCUGAAUUCACCUGAUCUCACAUUUUUCAAUGGGAUUACACAAUGAUCCUUAGGUUUAGUCAAGUUAGCAAGGGACCCUGCAGAGGCGACAAGAAACUUCAAAGCUAAACGCUAGUUUGCCACAAAACUACUUUGGAGUCGUACAUCAAAGACAUCUAAUCAGCAAAGCACAAACUUUU